AUUAGUGGCGAACGGGUGAGUAACACGUGGGGCAAUCUGCCCUGUACUUUGGGAUAAGCCUUGGAAACGGGGUCUAAUACCGGAUAUCACUUCCUGCCGCAUGGUGGGGGGUUGAAAGUUCUGGCGGUACAGGAUGAGCCCGCGGCCUAUCAGCUUGUUGGUGGGGUAAUGGCCUACCAAGGCGACGACGGGUAGCCGGCCCGAGAGGGUGACCGGCCACACUGGGACUGAGACACGGCCCAG
rnacentral:rRNA from 1 species